UAGGCUGCAACUCGCCUACACGAAGUUGGAAUUGCUAGUAAUCGUGGAUCAGCAUGCCACGGUGAAUACGUUCCCGGGCCUUGUACACACCGCCCGUCAAGCCAUGGGAGCCGGGGGUACCUGAAGUCCGUAACCGCGAGGAUCGGCCUAGGGUAAAACUGGUGACUGGGGCUAAGUCGUAACAAGGUAUC
rnacentral:rRNA from 1 species